rnacentral:rRNA from 1 species
UACAGAGGGUGCGAGCGUUAAUCGGAAUUACUGGGCGUAAAGCGUGCGUAGACGGCUAUCUAAGUCGGGUGUGAAAGCCCCGGGCUCAACCUGGGAAUUGCAUUCGAGACUGAAUAGCUAGGGUACGGUAGAGGGAAGUGGAAUUUCCGGUGUAGCGGUGAAAUGCGUAGAUAUCGGAAGGAACAUCAGUGGCGAAAGCGGCAUCCUGGACCAACACUGACACUGAGGAGCGAAAGCCAGGGGAGCAAACGGG